rnacentral:rRNA from 1 species
GACGAACGCUGGCGGCGUGCUUAACACAUGCAAGUCGAACGGAAAGGCCCUGAUUUUGUGGGGUGCUCGAGUGGCGAACGGGUGAGUAACACGUGAGUAAACUGCCCUUGACUGUGGGAUAACUUCAGGAAACUGGGGCUAAUACAGGAUAGGAGCUCCUGCUGCAUGGUGGGGGUUGGAAAGUUUCGGCGGUUGGGGCUGGACUGGCGGGUUAUCAGCUUGUUUGUGGGGUAGUGGCUUACCAGGGCUAUGAAGGGUAGCCGGCCUGAGAGGGUGACCGGCGACAAUGGGACUGAGAGACGGCCCAGUCGCCUACGGGAGGCAGCAGUGGGGAGUAUGGCGCAAUAGGCGGACGUGUGAUGCAACAGCGUCGCGUGCGUGAUGCCGGCCUUCUGGUUGUAAACCGCUUUCGCCGGUGACGAGGCGUGAGUGACGGUAAUGGGUAAAGAAGCACCGGCUAACUACGUG